rnacentral:rRNA from 1 species
GACGAACGCUGGCGGCGUGCUUAACACAUGCAAGACGAACGAUGAAGGAGAGCUUGCUCUCCGGAUUAGUGGCGAACGGGUGAGUAACACGUGACUAACCUGCCCCUUUCUCUGGGAUAACGCUCCGAAAGGAGUGCUAAUACCGGAUACGAACUCUGAACACAUGUUCGGAGUUGGAAAGUUUUUCGGAAAGGGAUGGAGUCGCGGCCUAUCAGCUUGUUGGUGAGGUAACGGCUCACCAAGGCGACGACGGGUAGCCGGCCUGAGAGGGCGACCGGCCACACUGGGACUGGGACACGGCCCAGACUCCUACGGGAGGCAGCAGUGGGGAAUAUUGCACAAUGGGCGAAAGCCUGAUGCAGCGACGCCGCGUGAGGGAUGAAGGUCUUCGGAUUGUAAACCUCUUUCAGUAGGGACGAAGCGAAAGUGACGGUACCUAAAGAAGAAGCACCGGCUAACUACGUGCCAGCCGCCGCCGUAA